rnacentral:rRNA from 1 species
UACAGAGGGUGCAAGCGUUGUUCGGAAUUACUGGGCGUAAAGCGCACGUAGGCGGCUUUGUAAGUUAGAGGUGAAAGCCCAGGGCUCAACCCUGGAAUUGCCUUUAAGACUGCAUCGCUUGAACAUCGGAGAGGUAAGUGGAAUUCCGAGUGUAGAGGUGAAAUUCGUAGAUAUUCGGAAGAACACCAGUGGCGAAGGCGACUUACUGGACGAUUGUUGACGCUGUGGUGCGAAAGCGUGGGGAGCAAACAGG